rnacentral:tRNA from 1 species
GCUGUUCAGGGCGCUUUCUGCCUUCACUCGUAAUGAAAAGGUCGCGAGUUCGAUUCUCGCAGGCAGCU